rnacentral:rRNA from 1 species
GAUGAACGCUAGCUACAGGCUUAACACAUGCAAGUCGAGGGGAAACGGCAUUGAGUGCUUGCACUCUUUGGACGUCGACCGGCGCACGGGUGAGUAACGCGUAUCCAACCUUCCCAUUACUGUGGGAUAACCUGCCGAAAGGCAGACUAAUACCGCAUAGUCUUCGAUGACGGCAUCAGAUUUGAAGUAAAGAUUUAUCGGUAAUGGAUGGGGAUGCGUCUGAUUAGCUUGUUGGUGGGGUAACGGCCCACCAAGGCAACGAUCAGUAGGGGUUCUGAGAGGAAGGUCCCCCACAUUGGAACUGAGACACGGUCCAAACUCCUACGGGAGGCAGCAGUGAGGAAUAUUGGUCAAUGGACGGAAGUCUGAACCAGCCAAGUAGCGUGCAGGAUGACGGCCCUAUGGGUUGUAAACUGCUUUUGUAUGGGGAUAAAGUUAGGGACGUGUCCCUAUUUGCAGGUACCAUACGAAUAAGGACCGGCUAAUUCCGUGCCAGCAGCCGCGGUAAUACGGAAGAUCCAGGCGUUAUCCGGAUUUAUUGGGUUUAAAGGGAGCGUAGGCUGGAGAUUAAGUGUGUUGUGAAAUGUAGACGCUCAACGUCUGAAUUGCAGCGCAUACUGGUUUCCUUGAGUACGCACAACGUUGGCGGAAUUCGUCGUGUAGCGGUGAAAUGCUUAGAUAUGACGAAGAACUCCGAUUGCGAAGGCAGCUGACGGGAGCGCAACUGACGCUUAAGCUCGAAGGUGCGGGUAUCAAACAGG